rnacentral:lncRNA from 1 species
AAUAUCAAUCAAAUAAGAAACAAAUCCAAGUGGUCUCACAUUCAUAUCAUCAACCAUUAUCAUUUCAUGAAGCAAAGAGUACAAAACAUGCAAUUUGAAGCUCAUAGAACCAAACAGAAAGAUUUAACUCAAUCAAUCAAAUAAGAAACAAAUCCAAGUGGUCUCACAUUCAUAUCAUCAACCAUUAUCAUUUCAUGAAGCAAAGAGUACAAAACAUGCAAUUUGAAGCUCAUAGAACCAAACA